AGAGAUCGAAGUGACCGAAGAGAAGACACAACCACCUUCGGAUUCUCAGGCCGGAAAUUGUUUCUACUUCGAUAUCUGCGGGUCUGAGACUGACUCGCCUAUAAACAAAGGCAAGCCCCGGUGCAUGCAACCCCUUCCUUGUGUUUUUAAAUAAUUUUUGCACACUUUAAGUCUAGUGAAAUGUGCAUUAGGUUUAUAGGAGUUGCUUGGAACCCUUUGAUGCAUUGCCUUCCUUGAUAUCCAUACCUUUAUAGAUACUUCUAGUGAAGUAUCAAAAUAUGAUUUACAAAAAUGCUUAGCCCUGCUUAGAUCUUGUGGUUAGAGGUUGUCUUUUGCAAUACUGCCUAGCUCAGGGGUUAUCCUGAGGAAAGAUGGCUUCUACCUGCAAGAAUAUAUUUUCAUUAAGAGCGUGGUGGGAUCUUACUGCAAAGUUUCCUGUGAUGCUCUUGUCAUCCUUAGGAACAGAAACAAUCCUAAGGGUGGAAGUACUUAAAUCGAGACUUGGCUAGGAACAGGUGAUGUUCUACCCAGGUUGAUUAAGGAUUGGAUGCGUAUGUAGGCUUGAUGACCAAGGACUAUCUUAGCUAGCCGCAUACCCUGGAAAUGGGACAGGGUAAGCUUUGCCUCGGGAAGACUAAGGCCAGAAUAAGAUAACACGAAAUGGGCGUGGAGCGGUGGCGGGAGUAGCGUGUACCCUCCGUGGCAAGAGGCUGGACGGUGGUGUAUCUGUGCUCUCGGUUUGCGUGAACCUGAUCUGGUCUUAAGAACCCUGGGGUCGAGUUGACAUAUGCAAGGAUUAAGUGCUACAUAUGUCGUGUGGUUAGAGAUCCUCAGCUGAGUAAAUCGAUUCGGAUCGCCGUUAUAUCCCUGGAGAGUGGAGACUUGAUCACUGCCCUACAACCUAAGUCAGGAUGUGAACUUCGUGAAUAAAAAUGAUGGUGUAUUAAUGAGAUGAUGAAAUUAGACUAGAGGCAAACAGAGUCUACUAAUAUUUAAUCUGGCGUUAAAAUGUUGAAAGUAAGGACUCACUUUAGUAAGCUAUUUCUGCAAAAGUAUCUAAGUUGAUCCUUGCUAAAGCCUCUCCUUGAUUCCUAUUUAUCCAGCAUACCCUUGAGAGUCUUUUCCUUAGUCGGGUAAGUCUUGCUGAGUAAUUCCAUACUCAGGGUUUAUCCCUCCGUUGUUUUUAGGUGAGGAAGCAACGAACUUUUGUUGCUUUUGCUCCAAGGUGGUUCAAAAUGAAGAAAAACAAGAGUGAAGCUGCGGGAGGACUUGGUCCUCCAUAUAGAACUUUUGUGAAAGAACUUAUCGGGAGGAGUUUUUGCCUCCCUUGGUAUGUGUAAUAAUAUUACUCUGCACUCGUUUUAUAGCUCUGGUCUGUAAUAAGUAACUUGAUCCUACUUUCUAAAUAAAUGUAAGUUUAUGCAAUCGCUUCCGCAUCUCUAUAUCUCCGAUGUUCUAUAAUGUCUGCAAGACGGGUGAAACGUUCCUGGUAAGGUAAGAAAGAAGAUACCGAACUUGUCGAGUGAUUCAGGAACAUCUACAGGGUUGUCUGAUGUCUGUUUGACAAGGACAACUGUAGGUGGGCCUAAUUACUUGGGAGGUUCCGUCACACUCAGCACACUUUUACUCAACAAGUUAUUGCCGAAGAUUUGCUUCGUGCUCAAUCUUUGCUGUUGAUGCG
rnacentral:lncRNA from 1 species